rnacentral:rRNA from 1 species
UGGCUCAGGAUGAACGCGUAGCGGCAGGCUUAACACAUGCAAGGUCGAGGGGUAGAGGAAGCUUGCUUCCUUGAGACCGGCGCACGGGUGCGUAACGCGUAUGCAAUCUACCUUAUACAGGGGAUAGCCCAGAGAAAUUUGGAUUAAUACCCCAUAGUAUAAUUGAAUGGCAUCAUUUAAUUAUUAAAGUUCCAACGGUAUAAGAUGAGCAUGCGUCCCAUUAGCUAGUUGGUGUGGUAACGGCACACCAAGGCGACGAUGGGUAGGGGUCCUGAGAGGGAGAUCCCCCACACUGGUACUGAGACACGGACCAGACUCCUACGGGAGGCAGCAGUGAGGAAUAUUGGUCAAUGGGCGCAAGCCUGAACCAGCCAUGCCGCGUGCAGGAUGACGGUCCUAUGGAUUGUAAACUGCUUUUGUACAGGAAGAAACACUCCCUCGUGAGGGAGCUUGACGGUACUGUAAGAAUAAGGAUCGGCUAACUCCGUG